UUGUUCCAACAAUAACUAGUGAAACAAAAGUUAUAAAUUAUAUCAUUUAUAAUAUACUAUUAUUUGCAUUUUUGUAAUUUUUUAUAAAAUUCUCUAUUUUUAAUUUUUUUAAAAUUUACAGUAGUACUAUGUAUACUUUUUCCAUUAAUUUUCCGUCACUCGGAUCUCUCUCUUUUUUUCAAUAAUAAAUAAAAUCAAAUAAAUAAGAAAUAAUGCAUUUAAUAAUUAUAUUAUCAUAUAGAAAGAAAUACAACGAAACCACCCAACUUUCCGACUUUUUUUGUACAUGUUCAUUUCUCCUUCUCCAUAAAGAAAGAAAAAAAUUUCCUCUCGAAAGCUUUUGGCAAUGGCAAACCAUCAAGUUGGUCGCUGGUGCCGAACCCCUACCCUAGAGAAGGGAAUCCCUGCUCAAAAGAAGGGCCGUAGACAAGACAAAGCAGCGGUGAAGAUGAUGAUGAUCACAGGUUGAUGUUGCAACAGCUCAAACGUUUUUCCAGCUUCGGUAUGGAUUCGAAGUCCUUGAGAAAGAUAAUCAAGAAUCAUGAAGUUAAGACUUUCAAACGCACUUUCUUUAGCAUAGAAUCCAAAUCUUAUAAUGAGGUUGUCUCUUCCAUUUCUCCAAUCACCCUCGCGACUUGUCUAAACCAACUGAAAAGCUUUCGUAUCCUCAACAAUUUACUAUUGUGAAUUGCUAGCACCAUGAAUCGAGAGGGAAACAGGGGAGGACUGGCGCUGGUUAUUAGAGGCAUUUGAGGGUCAUAGAGAUUGUUUAGUUAGGGCUUUGAGGAGACGUCAUCUUCCAUUUAUUAGAGCGGUAUGUUUUUCUUUCCUAAUGGCUAUUCAUCACCACAGUAGUAAGUAUAGGAUUCAUAUGGUUUUUGCAAACUUAAUGGCUGUUCAGAACUUAAUUAUUGUUUUUCCCUCUUUCUAAUUUUUUUGGUCUCUUAUGUUGUUUUUAAACUAAUGUUUCUAUCAUUGGGAUUUUGGGUAACUCGUUCUCUUUAUCGUUGUCUAUGUUUUGAGAAAUUCAAAAGGUGGUGGCGGUUUUAUCAAAUACAGUACGAAUUAGACCGAGUUUUUUUUUAUUUGUCACUAAUCGGAGUGUUAAUUGUUGAUGGAUCUGAUAUUGUGGUCCUUCGGGUUUCAUUGUUGUUUUUUUUUAUUAUUAUUGUGCUCUAUCUAUAUGACUAUUGCAGAUGGUGACGUUGGUGAUAUCAAAGGUCGCUUAUGUUCUGAUGCAUUUUUUGUUUUUUUCGCUAUCUCUGUUUGGCUGUUUUCAUUUGGGGAUUAUGGUUGUAGCAAUGGUUUGGUACUGCUCCUACGGUUAAUAUUUAUGUUUUGUGGUAGAUAUGGGUUUCUGAUCGGGCAUAUUUCUAUUUGAAAUUGUUUAUGAUUUUGGUUUGUUUAGCCUAUAAAACUAGGAGACGGGACAGAAGAGCGAAAGUAACAUUGUAUGGACUCACAAGUCACAGCAUGGGAACCCAUCUCCAGAUAUUGACUUUGAAUUUGAAAGUUUGCUCAAUUUUGAAAGCUUCCCAUCUGUAGAUUCCAAUUCUGGGAUUGGAAGGAUUACCAAAUCAAGAUGGAAAACUCAAACUAUUUCUUGGAAUUUGGAAGAGAUCUACAGACAUUAAGGACUUUUGUCUGUUCUUUUGCAUUAAAAAGUGGUAAAUAGACCAGGUUUCUUUUGUGUGAAGCAUUGUUAAAACAUAUAAAAGUAAAGCAGAAAAAGUAAAUAAUACAUGGUAGGACAAAUGUAUAUAUAUUUAUCAUUAAAUUAGACAAGUCUCCAGCUUUUCGCAUAUCUAAUAACUUAGUAUUUUUUCCCAAAUGCAAAGAACAACAUUUUAAUAGUCAUGAAUGAGCUGCUUUAAGGUAUUACAUGUAUGUCAUAAUGGACUCACUCUCCAAGUUUUUUUUGGGCCAAGCUCAAAAGGCCAAAAUAGUUAGCUCUCUUAUUUUGGUACUCAAUAUGUGUCUUCUCAUGUUUCUGUUAAAGGGCAAUAUAAUUUGGUUGAUUGAUGAGCUUAUUAAUUGUGUAUAAUAUCUAUGUUUUGCCAAAGUUUAGAAUUUCCAUAUUGCACCACUCAUAUGAGUCCCUCCAAGUCCUUUGCAUAUUCUAAAUCAUGUUAUGAACUUCUAAGUUACCAUUAUGUUUCAGAAGUCAUUACAUCAUAAAUUGAGCUAAGUAACAUGAUUAGUUGUAAUGACUUGGUGCAGGAUCUAAAUAGAUUUAUUGAUGAGAAGAGUGAAAGCAGAGGAGAAAAAAUUUAGCGGAUAAAAGAGGGAAGAAGGAAUAUGAACCUCUGCAAGCAAGUUGUCUAUGUCCACUUUGGCAUCGGUAUGGUUGUUGUUCAUCAAUUUCUCGUGUGAAAGCAAUAGAAUAUUUGUAUAACCGACAAAAAUUUUCAUGUUAUUGUCUUCCAUACUAGACCUUGAUGGACGUAUAAAGUUAGUGAAUAAGUGAAUUAGAUAGAUAGGAGUGGUACUUUCUAUCAACACUGGAUUAUAUGGCAAUAUUUGAAAGUAAUGAUCACCUAUGACUUGAGAAGAAGAAGCCAUAUAAAUAAUAAUUUGUGAGAUUGAAAUUAGAAACCAAGUAAAAGAAAGGACUUGAGUUUUCAAAGAAGGGAUGAUGAGAAUAUAGAAGAGGGCUUCUAAUUAGUAGAAUAGUGAGGAGUGAUGAUGGUCUAUAUAUAUUGUGGGUAGAUGGCUUGAAAUUUAUACCAACAAAAUUUAAAUUUAAAUUAUCAUAAAAAAAUCUGUUAAAAUAUCUAUUUGUUGCAAUUAGGAAACUAUAUAUAUAUUGAUUAGUAAUGACAAGAAAAUCUCCGAACUGCUUUCCUUAAUUAGAUGUGAAGAAUAAGUUUUGGUAAACAUUAAUUAAUCAUAUAUACAUGUGAAGAAUUUAAAAAUACUUUAAAGUAAUCAAAUUGAAGAUUUAAUUAUUUCAAUUAAUAAUUGGACAUUAUGAGAAAAUUACACCUCAUGCCCCUUCCGUAACUACCCUAAUUUUCAAAUAUUUGUUCCAACAAUAACUAGUGAAACAAAAGUUAUAAAUUAUAUCAUUUAUAAUAUACUAUUAUUUGCAUUUUUGUAAUUUUUUAUAAAAUUCUCUAUUUUUAAUUUUUUUUAAAUUUACAGUAGUACUAUGUAUACUUUUUCCAUUAAUUUUCCGUCACUCGGAUCUCUCUCUUUUUUUCAAUAAUAAAUCAAAUCAAAUAAAUAAGAAAUAAUGCAUUUAAUAAUUAUAUUAUCAUAUAGAAAGAAAUACAAGGAAACCACCCAACUUUCCCACUUUUUUGUACAUGUUCAUUUCUCCUUCUCCAUAAAGAAAGAAAAAAAUUUCCUCUCGAAAGCUUUUGGCAAUGGCAAACCAUCAAGUUGGUCGCUGGUGCCGAACCCCUACUCUAGAGAAGGGAAUCCCUGCUCUAUAGAAGCAGAGUCUUCCACUGCUAGAACUCGAACAAGAAGCAGCGAUGAAGAUAAUGAUGAUCACAGGAUCUAAAUAGAUUUAUUGAUGAGAAGAGUGAAAGCAGAGGAGAAAAAAUUUAGAGGGGAAUUCCUCCGCUCGUGCUUCUUCAACUGGUUGAGACUGGCGAUUUGUGGUGGACUUUUUCGGAGGUAUGAAUACAGAAGACGCCGCCAUUUCCCCCUAGUUUUCUUAUUCGUUUUUACUUUCGCUUUCUUUAGUCUCUUUGAUCAGUCAUCAGAUCUGUUUAAUCAUCCAUUUUUAGUUCGAUUGAUCUCAAGUUGAAUCUGAUUUGAGUUCCCUGCGAUCUGAUCCUCGUUUUUUUAUCUUAAUUUUGAAACGAAGUUUUCGAAAUAGGGGAGUCCAGGGUUGUGUUUGUUAGCCGAGAAAACGGUGGAAAAGAAAUUAGGGUUCUAUGCACUUUUGCUAGUUUCGUUGGAAUGGAAAUCGAAUAUGAUAUUUUUUUGAUGUGUUAUAAUUAUAAGAAAAUGGAAAUCGAUAAUUCUGUAAAGAUUAGAGAAAGAGAACAUACGGCCACUUCGGAUCCAAGAAGAAGAAGGUAAGAAGAAAGCAAGAGAAAGAAGCGAGUGUUAUUGGAAGUUCAAUACAAGAAUAGUCAGAAGAAAAACGUAAAUCCGAGCCUAUUUUGCGUUGAUUUUUCUCUUAGAUUCUGAGUACCAAAUUCAUGUCAAAUGGUUUUGUUAUGUUCAUAGCGUUGUGGACUAAGUUGAGGAGAAGAAGGAACCACCAAGAACCGGCCACAGUAAGAGGUACAAAUUCAUAGAUUUCCUUCGUAGUUUAUGAUUCCGAUUUUUUGUUUUCAUUUCUUAGGGUGGCAAUGAAUUUGUGGGGCGUUUUAUACAGUUUUAAUCUGUGUUUAGGGACUAGAAACUUUCACUAAGGGGUUGUGAAUGGUUCAAUAUGAUAAGGCUUGAAUUUUGGGGUGUUUUGGUGAUGGGUGAUGAAUGGUAGAGGCGGAUACGGAAGUUGUAAAGAAGUUUUUUAGUUAAGGUUGGAGUAUCAUUGGUGCAGAAAUCUAAUAGUGAAGUGUGUCAUCCAUUUUUAUUCAACAUGUAUGAUUUUAUAGGGUGUCUUUCAUUUGAUUUGUUUUGUUUUUUCAAUAUAUAUAUAUAUAUAUAUGCGCAAAAGAUUCUCUCUAAUGGGCGUGCAAUGCAAUGUUCAAGCCUGA